UUGGAGGACUCAGUUCUAUGUAGUUGGUUAAACCAUACAAGGGAGCCUUAUGUAAGACAUCGUUCAUGACACAUCUCAAAUGGGCCAUGGGAGAGAAGCAAUUUCACUGCAACUCACUAGUUAUUACCAGAAAACUUGAGUCUAAGAUGAAGUUAGUGAGAGAAACAUCAGACCUAUUCAUUUUUCAUAGUUUAAAUUCUCCUGUCCAAUAGCUCAGUAAUACAAUUUACCCUAAAAUGCCCCUUGCCUCCCUGGGAGGACCCUUCCUUUGCUCAUUUCUGUGUCCAGUGCUAUGUGCAUUGUUACAUACCUACCACCUCAGACAAAGCAUAGGGCAGCCUAUACGCUUGGACUUAUGAGACACAAUGACGGAAGAGAAAGAUUCUAAGGGCCCGUCAGGGAGGAAGCACACUGAGGCGGAAUGUGGGGAAUGCUCCUAGCCCCUCCUCACACAGGGGAAAGACACAUUCAGCUACAGCUGACAAAAAAACACAACAAUACAGGCAGACGAUGCAGGUACUGUCUCCGCCCGACAAAAGACAUGCCAUCUUGGAGCAGAGAGAACACAGAACACAGGACGGGGUGUUCCCAACAAAGAGAUAACAAUUACAAAGUAUAGCAUCUUUCCAAUGUCAAGUGACCUGAAAAUAUCCAUACAUCUGCUUGAUCACUGCAUGGACCUCGACCACAAAUAUUUGUUCUGACCCUUAUAUGUGCCAGCCCUCUCUUCCAAUGCCCUAUAUAGCUUCCUGCCUUUUCUUUGUUCAGUGCUGAUCAUCUCUUGCUUUCUG